AAAGGCGUAAAGAGAGUAUAAAACUUUAUUACAUCACCUGAAACAUUGUGUCUUAAACAAGUAUCACAUCAAAGUUAAGCGGAAAUAAACAACUGGGCAAUCUUCCACAGGAAGUUGACCGGCGCAUCGUUAGACUUAGAAUUCCUCGUCGAUAAAUUCUCCAUCAAAGUCUCCAGCAUCACCCUCUGAUCAAAAUAUUAGCAAGGGUGAGCUCACUUAUGGUCGGGGCUCAGCAAGUGGGGGAAAAAUUAAUGCAGGUAUAACAAGGUGAGGCUAAGGUUGAGCAGUAAGCAUUUUAGUUGGUCAACAUUUUAUUAUCAACAUCUGUCUUACUAAUAAGAGUGAAUCCCAAAUAUCCCAAUUAAACAAAGGAAUAUGAAUAUAACAAAAACACUUAAGUGAAACCACUUAAGCAAAUUAUUGGCAGAUCAUCGGAUCUCAAUUUAAUUCCAUCUUCAAGUUCAAUUAUCAUGUGAGGAGUCCAGGUCACUCAUAACCGGGAGCACGGCUGAUAUAUCAGUUUUACACUCUGCAGAGGUGGUACAACUUUACCCACAAGCCAUGUAUCCCAUCUAGCCCGGGUUGAUCGGACCCUUAGACACUGCCGAGGUGAAUGGCUAGGGAUCCAUUAUGAGGUUUUCACAAAAUACACUUAAUACGAAGCAACCCGCUAAGGUUUCUAAGACGAUGGUGGUGGCCCCCGGGGUGAAGUACCUUAGCCAAGAAUACGACCCCAUGUUAACGUGGGCUGCCAGCACCUACCGCUCCCCCUCUUGCCCAUCUUUCAGGUAAGGUUGCUAGUAGGGGUGGGCGUUCGGGUUACCCGAAAUUUUCGGGUCGGGUAAUUCGGGUUUUUAAAAUUUCGGGUUUUGAGAAUCGAUACCCGAAAUUACAACGAGUUUUUCAAUACCCGAAAAUUUGGGUACCCGGAAUUUCGGGUUCGGGUUCGGGUAUUCCCGAACUACCCGAACUAUUGUGUUGGCUUCAUAAAAACACAUACACCCUAUUAAAUUAGUAUAAAAACAUAGUUUGAAUAAUGAUAUACAUGGACAUAUAAAACACAAGCAAUCUACAAUCACAAGUUAUGCAUACUUACACAUAAUUAUAGAUGUACAAAUUAAUAAUUAAGCAUGACAUGAGUACAUGACACAUGAAAGUUCGGGUAAUUCGGGCAUUUCGGGUACCCGAUUGUGAUACCCGAAUUACCCGAAAUAAUUUCGGGUUUUGCAAGUUGCUACCCGAAAUUCCCGAACAAAAUUCGGGUUUCGGGUAUUUCGGGUUCGGAUUCGGAUAUUUUGGGUUCUGGUUUCGGGUUACGGGAUUUUUGCCCAGCCCUAGUUGCUAGGCACUAAGCAUAUAAAGCUAAUUACCAAAGCCAGAGCCAUGAUAGCACUCGUGGUUGCACUGUUAUCCUGGGUGGUCACUCCAUGUUCCAAUUAAAUUUGUAAUAAUGUUAUCUUAACCAUCGGGUUAAUGCCAUAAUUGCCAAUUAAAUCCUUGUAACAUUAAAACCAAUUAAUGAGUGACAUUAAUAAAUCAUUAAGUUGAGCGAUAGCACAAAUUCUUGCACAGCUUAAUAAUUUUCCCAGGUUAAACAAGGAAUACAGGUAGUAAAUCUAGGAAAAUCCUUAAUUAGGUUAUCCCAUCAAAUUAUGCAAUAUAUCAAAAGGUAAACAUUAUAUAUGCAAUGAAUAGGUACAAACAGAAUAUGGAGAGGAAGAAUCCACUUGCCUUGCUCAAACGUUUCCCGCGAAUCGUCCUCACACGAAUUCGGAUCCUCUACCACACAAUCAGCUUCUAAUAACGUCGCACGUCGCCAUACAAAAAGAAAGCAUACACCAAUAAAUAAACAUACACCAUUCAACAAACAAUGAAACAUACACUUUAUAAAUCAUACUUAUAAAAGGAAGACAUCUAAAAAUAACACUUGAUUUGUAACUAUAAUAUAAGUCUAUCCAUAUCGAUGAUCAUCUCAUUUGUUAUGAGUUAAAAUACUAAUCAUUCAGUUUCGAGAAUUCAUUAGAGGAAUCUAUAUGGCAAAUUGACUAUGGAAGUAUAUACUAUAUAGAUUCAUUUAAAAAUACAUAAAUAUGGCUCUAAUUCAAUCUUUAUAGAAUCUAGAAAAUUAACCAAUUAAUUAUUGUAUUUCUAUCGAAAAAGAUGUGGGUAAUCUUUUAUUAUUUCUUUCUAAAAGAAAAUUAUCGUAGACGUUACAACCUUAUUUAAAAAGUCACAUAACCUUGAUAUUUAAGAGAACUAAAUUAACCUACCAAUUUAAUUCUACUAUUUAGUUUAUAGUGGACAUAGUCGCUAUAUUAUUUUAUUAAUCGAGGCUCUAGCAUGACUAGCAAUUUGCAUAUAAUCGCACAUAUGAACACAUACGAUGUGACUAAAAUCUAUAAUUCAUCCUGAGCAAAGACAACCGUAGAAUUAUUCAUCUAGUAUUAUUGUUAUAAAUAUAUGGUUUACCUAUCCCUUAAUCUUUUACUCUAACAAACUAUAUUUAAAUUAAUGUCAACAAUCAUAAUUAAAUUAAAAUACACAAAGGUGAAAGACAGCAUACACUAAUUAAAAUAAACCAUCACAUACAUAUGAAAUUAAUCGUUCGGUAUACACUUGAUUUUUACACUAAAAGAAAAUAUACAACUAAAAUUACGUAACGAUAUAGAAAUUGGAUCGUGAUAGCACAUAAAAUCACAGGGGCUUAUUUUCACUUCCUUUUGAGCUGGAAAAAUUUGUCUAAAUAAUUUUUACACAGUAUUAGGGGCUAGAUUCAAUCUCGUUCACCUUGCUCUUACUUGCGCAGAGGUGGAUGGGACCACGGCUGGCGGCGUCGAGGCGAACCGGGGCGUUGCCGACCACAGGAAAGUGGAAGAGCGGGCGUCCAAGGUCACGAGGAAGUCUUCACCGGCGGCGGAUAGGCUCUGAAACGGCACGGCGGCGAAGGAUAAUGACGGCGGUGGCUCGGCUCCGUGAGCAGCACAUAGGACAGCGUGAGAGAAGAAAAGAGAGGCUAGUAACAAGCACGUAGAUCCGCGGUGUUCGAUUUAUAGGCUAGGAGCGAGGCUGAGAGACUAACGGACGCAGGUGGAGUUUUAUUGGUCAUUAAUGGCGGCGGCUUUACUACAGACGUUUGCGAGUCGUAAGUGGAGGAGAAACUGACGGCUAGCGGGAGAAGAGGAGCAGUGAUGGGGCAGCAUUAGUGGAGGAGAGGAGGGGAGGACCAGGCAUGGUGGGGCUGCUCCACCCUGGGUGCGCGAGAAGAUGAAGAUCCGGCCGGCCGGCGGCGGAUGCGCUUCGUGCAGACAGAGAGAAGCCGUGGGGAGAAGAAGACUUGGGAGGGUCCACUUGUAAGUGAAAGAGAAGGGAGAGAGAAAUAAAAGAAAGAAAAUA
rnacentral:lncRNA from 1 species